CAGCAGCCGCGGUAAUACGUAGGGUCCAAGCGUUGUCCGGAUUUACUGGGCGUAAAGAGCGCGUAGGCGGUCUGUUAAGUGUAGAGUGAAAGCUCCGGGCUCAACCCGGAAAUUGCUCUGCAUACUGGCAGACUUGAGGGUGGCAGAGGUUUGUGGAAUUCCUGGUGUAGCGGUGAAAUGCGUAGAUAUGCGGAGGAACACCGAUGGCGAAGGCAAUCCCCUGGACCUGUACUGACGCUCAUGCACGAAAGCGUGGGGAGCAAACAGGAUUAGAUACCCCUGUAGUCCCUGUCUCUUAUAC
rnacentral:rRNA from 1 species